GGUUUGGUAGCUCAGUUGGUUAGAGUGUCUGACUGAAGUUCAGAAGGUCGGCAGUUCGAAUCUGCCCCAAACCA
rnacentral:tRNA from 1 species